rnacentral:rRNA from 1 species
UACAGAGGGGGCAAGCGUUGUCCGGAAUUACUGGGCGUACAGCGUGCGCAGGCGGCCGUGUAUGUGCCGAGUGACAAGUCCGCGCUUAACGCGGAAGGGUCUCGGUAGACAGCAUGGCUGGAGGCCUUGAGAGGGAAGUGGAAUGCCCGGUGGAGCGGUGAAAUGCGUAGAGAUCGGGCGGAACACCAGGGGCGCAGGCGGCUUCCUGGCAAGGACCUGACGCUGAGGCACGAAAGCGUGGGGAGCGAACGGG